UGUGGGUGCCUGCUGGGCAGCGGCUGAUGCCCUGGGGGGGUCUCCUCAUGGAGGUCCUGAUAGUAGGCAGGUCAGUGCUCCCAGUUUACAAAGAAAUUCAGGUUUGAAAAGGCAAAGUCAUCCACAAUCAUGUAGGUGGAAGAGGCACAGCCCACCUUCCAGAACCUUCCUCAGGCUGAGAACAGAGAGGGCUAGAGUCCAGACUCAAUGGGUGGCGGCCAGGUGGUGCCUUCCAACCAGCAGCCCCUCGGGUCCAGGGAGGUCAGAGCUCAAGGCUGUGGGUGGUUCAGGCCUGCUGUGGUCUCGCACCCCAAACCUGCAGGCUACUAGGGCCACUUGACAGAGAGUCGACUCAGAUGCUCAAGCGCUUGAACACUCACCCCAAAGGCCCAAGCACCCAAGCUGCUCCCUCUCCACCUAGCAGAGGAAGCCCCAAGAGUGAGCCAGCGGCGUGAGCUUGUAACCCCUCUCCCUGUCCUAUAACAAGCUGACCGGGGAGGAGAGGGCCCCCGGCCAGUCGCUGUCUCGUCCAUGCUGGUGCGGUGCGGGGAGCUUGGUCUCCUCUCAGCCCGAAAGGCAGGCUUGGGACUUUACUGCCAUUUUAACGCACGGUCUGCGUAAGGAACCACAGGGUUAGCGGCGGUGACCUGGAUGACAAACCACAGCCAUCACGCUCACAAACGCAGGAACCAAAACAGAGGUACAGAAAUCAAGUCGGUGACCGAUUUUUAAGGAAUUGAAAGGUGAAACUCCUCUGCGUGGUAAGGACUCAGCGUUCAGGACUCACGCGGCCCACCCUGCCUGGAGCUGUGCCCCAGGAGACAGUGUGAACGUCUGCACACACUGAACUGAAUGUGAAAGUCUUUCUUUCUUGACCACGAGCUGACGGGAACCUGGACUGUGCUCAGCAGGAUGAAGGAAGUCUGCCCCCCAACCCCGGGCACCCCUCCGGCUCCGGGGCAGAGGAGACACAGGCCAGUCGACAGUAAGCUCCACGGGGCAUCUCGCUCACAACGGGUCCCCCCAACUUUUACCCCAAGGGACAGGCACAUACCGGGAUCUUUGCCUAAGAAAGAAAAGCAGUGACUGGGUAAAGGAAAAGCUCAUGGAUUCUGAUAAGACACUGUUGUUAGCGAUUUCAUUCAUUCAAGAAAUACUGGCAUUUGUUGAAUUUCACAGAGGGGAGAAAAGACUAGUUUCUGAGAUGAUUCACCGCACAUGUGUCCUGAGCUAAGAGCAAAUCUUAAUUUUCAGUGAUUCUUAGAAAGUCAGCUCGUCUGCCGUGGUCAGCUCACACCUCCCCCAGGAGGGCUUCCCCCCUGGGGCCUCCCGCAGCUGGAAAGGGAUCCUCUGAAUCAAGGGAGCGAUUGCGCUGGGAGCUGAAAGGGGGCCGCAGCAUACUUUAAAUUCUGGAAGAACGGGAAGUGCGAGCCCACCGAGCCAGCACCGUGCCCCCUGGAGACCCUGGAAACACUCGGCAGGAUCAGCCCCAAACACCAGCCCAGACCCUAGGCUGACCGCUUACUGCGGCAGGGGAAAGCCUGCUCUCCCCGAAGACUGCAGAAGGCCAAAGACUCGGGGUGAUUGGAAACUCUACAGCUUCCGGCUGCUCUGGGACUUUCUGGAAGCGCUGAACAACCAUGAAAGAAAUACACAUUCCUCAAAGCAAUGAGAUGCAGGAAAGUGUCUCCAAGAAUCACCCCGGACGGCAGGAAGAGGGCGAGAGGAACUUCCAGUGACUGCCAGGGCCAGCGCCGUUCACCUUUAGACUGCGGAUUCUUGAAACCAGGACCUGCUCCCAGGGGCGUGUCCACCAAGCCCACAAGCAAGUGAAUAAAUAAAUAAGAGCGAAGAGAACAAACACAGCUCAGGACCAAGGAGAACCGGGUCUGGACCGGAUGCCCCAGGCCAGCCCCCUGCAGACUCGGCCAUGCGAACGCGUGGGGCCUGCCGGGACUCCAAGAGAUGCCAGGGGCCCCUGCUCAGGCCACACCUGCCCACCACUGCAUUGUCUCUCACAGAGACGAGCCCCUUUUUUCCAGGAUCCACCAGCGGGAAGAACAACUAACUUUCCCAGUUUGGAGGAAAAUGCUACUAUCCUUGGAUGCGUGCAUGAGGAACUCUGCGCCCGAGGACCUGAGGACUUGGCUGUGCCGCGGGGCGUGUGAAAGCAUGAACAAGCAGAUUUGAGGAAACAUCCUGGCGCCAUGGCAACAGGAACCCAACAAAGUGCAGUUGCACACAACAGUUCAAAAGUAAACCGGACACUAAAAUACCCACAAAAAGCUACAAUGACUCACUGUUCUCCCCCAACACUUCAAGAACAGCCAGUUCUUUGACGCUCUGACAGACUUUUUCCCCACUGGAGAAACUGAGACAAAGAACCUAAAAAGCAGCUUUGAAAUUCUCUCUCGUUUCACCAGCAAGUUGAUCUGAGGAGAUGCGACAUGCCUGGAGUUCAGAGUUUAGAGUCUGGAAACGACCUUCAUGUGGCGAGAACUGUUUGAUGCUUUCCCUGAAAGCCCACCUGAAGGUCCAAGCAGGCCGGCCCGGCGUGUGCCACGCUGAGGCUCAAGCUCCGGUCAGGGGCGAAGACAGCACCACCUCCACCGCGAGCCGCCUUCCCUUGCCCCGCACAAACGGCCGCUCGUCCACCUGCCCCACGACCUGUGGGGACACGCCGUGACCUCACAAUCUCGUCUGCAGUAGGAAGCACCAGAAAUGCGCCUGGGAAGGAGCUUUGCCACCAGUGGGUAAACAUUUGUCAACAAAGUCACUGCUUUAAACUUGACCUAGUGUGGCCUGUUGUUUUAAUCUUUCGCAACAUAAAUUAUUCAUGGAGUUUGAAAGUC